rnacentral:rRNA from 1 species
GGGUUGUGAGGUUAAGCGACUAAGCGUACACGGUGGAUGCCCUGGCAGUCAGAGGCGAUGAAGGGCGUGCUAAUCUGCGAUAAGCGCCGGUAAGGUGAUAUGAACCGUUAUAACCGGCGAUACCCGAAUGGGGAAACCCAGUGUGAUUCGUCACACUAUCAUUAACUGAAUCCAUAGGUUAAUGAGGCGAACCGGGGGAACUGAAACAUCUAAGUACCCCGAGGAAAAGAAAUCAACCGAGAUUCCCCCAGUAGCGGCGAGCGAACGGGGAGGAGCCCAGAGCCUGAAUCAGCAUGUGUGUUAGUGGAAGCGUCUGGAAAGGCGCGCGAUACAGGGUGACAGCCCCGUACACAAAAGCGCAUGUGCUGUGAGCUCGAUGAGUAGGGCGGGACACGUGGUAUCCUGUCUGAAUAUGGGGGGACCAUCCUCCAAGGCUAAAUACUCCUGACUGACCGAUAGUGAACCAGUACCGUGAGGGAAAGGCGAAAAGAACCCCGGCGAGGGGAGUGAAAAAGAACCUGAAACCGUGUACGUACAAGCAGUGGGAGCACCCUUUGGGUGUGACUGCGUACCUUUUGUAUAAUGGGUCAGCGACUUAUAUUCUGUAGCAAGGUUAACCGAAUAGGGGAGCCGGAGGGAAACCGAGUCUUAACCGGGCGUUAAGUUGCAGGGUAUAGACCCGAAACCCGGUGAUCUAGCCAUGGGCAGGUUGAAGGUUGGGUAACACUAACUGGAGGACCGAACCGACUAAUGUUGAAAAAUUAGCGGAUGACCUGUGGCUGGGGGUGAAAGGCCAAUCAAACCGGGAGAUAGCUGGUUCUCCCCGAAAGCUAUUUAGGUAGCGCCUCGUGAAUUCAUCUCCGGGGGUAGAGCACUGUUUCGGCUAGGGGGCCAUCCCGGCUUACCAACCCGAUGCAAACUGCGAAUACCGGAGAAUGUUAUCACGGGAGACACACGGCGGGUGCUAACGUCCGUCGUGAAGAGGGAAACAACCCAGACCGCCAGCUAAGGUCCCAAAGUCAUGGUUAAGUGGGAAACGAUGUGGGAAGGCCCAGACAGCCAGGAUGUUGGCUUAGAAGCAGCCAUCAUUUAAAGAAAGCGUAAUAGCUCACUGGUCGAGUCGGCCUGCGCGGAAGAUGUAACGGGGCUAAACCAUGCACCGAAGCUGCGGCAGCGACACUGUGUGUUGUUGGGUAGGGGAGCGUUCUGUAAGCCUGUGAAGGUGUGUCGUGAGGCAUGCUGGAGGUAUCAGAAGUGCGAAUGCUGACAUAAGUAACGAUAAAGCGGGUGAAAAGCCCGCUCGCCGGAAGACCAAGGGUUCCUGUCCAACGUUAAUCGGGGCAGGGUGAGUCGACCCCUAAGGCGAGGCCGAAAGGCGUAGUCGAUGGGAAACGGGUUAAUAUUCCCGUACUUGGUGUUACUGCGAAGGGGGGACGGAGAAGGCUAUGUUGGCCGGGCGACGGUUGUCCCGGUUUAAGCGUGUAGGUGUGUGUUCCAGGUAAAUCCGGUUCACUUUAACACUGAGGCGUGACGACGAGGCACUACGGUGCUGAAGCAACAAAUGCCCUGCUUCCAGGAAAAGCCUCUAAGCAUCAGGUAACAUCAAAUCGUACCCCAAACCGACACAGGUGGUCAGGUAGAGAAUACCAAGGCGCUUGAGAGAAC